UACGUAGGGUCCGAGCGUUGUCCGGAAUUAUUGGGCGUAAAGGGCUCGUAGGCGGUUUGUCGCGUCGGGAGUGAAAACACGGGGCUUAACCCCGUGCCUGCUUCCGAUACGGGCAGACUAGAGGUAUGCAGGGGAGAACGGAAUUCCUGGUGUAGCGGUGAAAUGCGCAGAUAUCAGGAGGAACACCGGUGGCGAAGGCGGGUCUCUGGGCAGUAACUGACGCUGAGGAGCGAAAGCGUGGGGAGCGAACGGG
rnacentral:rRNA from 1 species